rnacentral:sRNA from 1 species
GCUAGGCACGGUGGCACAUGCCUGUAAUCCUGGAGUCUUGGGAGGCUGAGGCAGGAGGAUCGAGAGUUCAAAGCCAGCCUCAGCAACUUAGCAAGGUCCUAAGCAACUCAGUGAGACCCUGUCUCUG